rnacentral:misc_RNA from 1 species
CGGUGGGAGCGCGCCCGGCCCU